UACGUAGGGACCGAGCGUUGUCCGGAAUCAUUGGGCGUAAAGAGCGUGUAGGCGGCUAUUUAAGUCCUGCGUGAAAUCCCUCGGCUCAACCGGGGAACUGCGUCUGAUACUGGAUGGCUUGAAUUCGGGAGAGGGAUGCGGAAUUCCAGGUGUAGCGGUGAAAUGCGUAGAUAUCUGGAGGAACACCGGUGGCGAAGGCGGCAUCCUGGACCGAGAUUGACGCUGAUGCGCGAAAGCCAGGGGAGCAAACGGG
rnacentral:rRNA from 1 species